GCCGUUUCAUCAGGAUGGGGCUGACAGCAGAGGUACUUUUUUUAUUGCAACACUCCAUCAUUGUCACAUUGAUUAGUAAAUCUUACUAGUGACGUGAAGUUCACAGUGAUAACAAUGGUUUACUGAAAAGAACAAGGAAAAACAAUGUCAACACAGUGCUUCAGAUUCUUGGAACUGAGUAACACCUCUCCGGUAAUAGUUUUACUUGACUGUCGGUAUACUCCUCAUUUCCUGAACAAGUUUAUGCAGCUCUGCAACUUGGGUGCAGCAGUUGGUUUUGGCUUGAUGUCUCUUCCAGUGUGAUGAUGAAUGAAUUUGAAAGAGUGACAGAAAGUUGUUGAAAUUUCUUCUGAUUUAAUCACAUACAAAUGUAAAUGUUCUACCAGAUCAACCACAGAGAUAUAGAUAUAUCAUUUUCAAAACCAUUAAAAUCUAUAUCAGCUGAAAACAGCUUGAUCCACAUACUGUGAUAAAUAUAAAUAUAAGUCAUUACUGAGACUCUCAGUCAUACAGGCACAGGCAGGAGAUCAUAAACAAAUAUACACGUGCCGUUGAAGUCUCAGUAGGAAUGUUACAGGAAUAGAGACGUCAGUAAUAACUGAUCUGGUGGGUGCAUUCCGUUAUUACACCCCUUUCCCUCAGAUUACUUUUAAUGUGUCUGUUUUGUGGAGUUUGUUGUUAGGCUCCCCAGCCUGUUCUGGAUCACAUCGGCCACCGGGAGCACUAUUCCCCACGCCGUGGACAUCGUGUCGUCCCUGGAUACCGGCGACGCUGCUCCGCUGAUCAGGAGGAAACUCACUCUGGGGAAACGGUGGGACAAACGGGCGCUACAGCCGCUCUGUGCCCACCACAUGCCCACAUGACGACGACGACGACGACGAUGGUGGUGUUGGUGUUAAUGAAGCGGAAUGGAGUCGAGCAGGGCGGACUAAUUCUGCACGAUGAAUGACAGGUACCACAAGGCGGCCCGGGACGGCUACCUGGACCUACUGAAGGAAGCAACUCGGAAGGAUCUCAACGCUCCGGAUGAGGAUGGCAUGACACCGACGUUAUGGGCUACUUAUCACGGCAACCUGGAGGCUCUGCGGCUCAUCGUGGCGAGGGGAGGAAACCCUGACAAGUGUGACAUAUGGGGGAACACGCCACUCCACCUGGCAGCCGCCAAUGGUCACCUCAGCUGCCUUUUCUUCCUGGUGUCUUUUGGUGCCAACAUAUGGUGCCUGGACAACGACUACCACACGCCGUUGGACAUGGCUGCCACAAAGAAUCACAUGGAUUGCGUCCGCUACCUAGAUUCCAUCGCAUCCAAGCAGACAGGCCUCAAUCCCAAGCUGGUCAGCAAACUGAAGGACCGGGCAUUUCGUGAUGCCGAGCGACGGAUCAAAGAAUGCGUGAAGAUGCAGAAGAAACACCACAAACGCAUGGAGCGAAAGUUUCACAAAGAGGCUUCUGAGGCUUCUGCAUCAGACGUUAUGAGUUUUUCCAGUUACACCAGCAGCUCUCUUAGCCACAAGCUGCGCAACUUCAAUGCAGCAACCGUCAGUGUGCCAUAUUCUCAGGCUACUCUCCAUGCCACAAACCGAGGGAAGACAAAGAUCCAGAAGAAGCUAGAGAGGAGGAAACAAGGAGAUGGGACCUUUAAAAUCUAUGAAGAUGGAAGGAAGAGUGUGCGCUCCCUCUCUGGACUUCAGCUGGGCAAUGAUGUCAUGUUUGUCAAACAGGGGACAUAUGUAAAUCCAAAGGACCGUGGUCGCCGCAAUGUUCGUGACAUGUUCCCCAGAGACAAUGAUGAUGCCAUUUCACGUGCCAUGAGCGAGCCAGACCUCCACGGUCCCGAUGUGGACUAUUCUGAGAUCAGCACCGACUCUGGACAUGAUUCUCUGUUCAACCGGCCCGGUCUGGGCACCAUGGUCUUUAGGAGGAACUACGUGAGUGGGGGGAUGUUUGACCUCGGUGGUCGGGACGAGGCAACUGUGGACCGGUCGGGCAAUAAUGUGCGUUUACGCAGUCGGCUGCAGCAUUACCCGAGUCUGGAUGCAGACAGCAUUGGCAGCGCACGCAGCCUACAGGAGAGGAAUGUGGAGGACCUGCCUUGGGAAGAAGUAGAAUUAGGGCUGGACGAUGACGAUCAGCCUGAAACAAGCCCUCUGGAAGUUUUCCUAGCCACACAAAGCAUGAGCGAGUUUUUCUCCAUCUUCAAGAGGGAGAAGAUUGACCUAGAAGCGCUGUUGCUGUGCUCUGACCAUGACCUUAAGAGUAUCCACAUCCCCUUAGGACCGAGGAAAAAGAUCUUAGAUGCGUGUAAAAGACGGCUGGAGAGCAUAGAGGACCCGGACUGCAUCGAGGACACAGAACUGAGCUAGACAUGAGGAAUGAGGGCGGAGUCACAGAUGGAGUGAGGCAGACAGACGAGAUGUUAACUUACAUCAAAGUUAAGAAAUGAUAAUAAAAGUUGUUGUAGACUGUCCUCCUGCUGUGCGCUCAUCCAGCCUUAAAGGUCAGUGGAGCAUUGUUGAGCGAAUGUCACGUACGGACAGGGAGGACUUCAUGAUUCACCUCUCCUGGUAGCACAGUGGUAACAAAGCAGAAAGGAUACCGUCAAGAUCAAUAUGUCAAGCAAGAGGAGACGAGCGUGAGAUAAAUUCUUAACAGAAUUCUUGUACAGCGUCUUGUUAGCCUUGGGAGGAUCACUGAAAAUAUCUGUGUAUGAUGGUUGGUUGGACUCCCCUGCACUGCAUGGUUUAACAAACUGAAAGACAAUCAUCAGAGUGUAGUGCUGUGCAGUGUCAUUGUAUGCCACAUGGCAGAGUUAACAAAGAGUUGAUUGUGGGGUCUGUGUCCCCUGAAUGUGUUCGCCCCUGUGGGGUAAGUCCUACCACCUCAUGUGCCUGCAUUGCUUGUGCCUAUGCAUUUGUUUAAAAGUGUGUUAUGUCAUAAAAAUCAUUGACAUUAACUUUAUCAUAACUUUCUAAGUAUCUUUUUGCAAUAACAACAUUUUGAGCAACAUUUUCACUCCACCUUUCAUCUCUGUGCACGUUUACAUAUAGGAAGCCAUGUCAGUCCAAGUGUGGCUCACUGGCAAUGCAGGCCAACUGUUCACUGAUAUCACUGUACUGAUUUACUGUAGUGUUGUAAACUAUGUGAAAACACAGCAUCUUUACAUUAUUUUAUAAUGCACAAUAUAACGUAUAGUUUAUUUUGCAUGUUCAGUCCAUGUAUAAUUAUAAACCUUUGUAUAUCACUCAUGUCAUUCUUGAUAACAUGACAGUCUUCCAACAA